rnacentral:rRNA from 1 species
AAUAGGAAAUUUAAGGGCGUAUGGUGGAUGCCUUGGCUUCUGAGAAGCGAUGAAGGACGUUGUGUAGCGACGAUAUGCUCGGGGAGCCGCCGAACAGGCUUCGAUCCGAGCGUUUCCGAAUGAGGCAACUCCUCCCGUAGAGAUACGGGAGACCCUGACGCUUGACGUCAGGGAGCACACCCGGGGAAGUAAAACAUUUCAGUACCCGGAGGAAGAGAAAACAAUGUACACGUACUGUGUACGAUAUUUCCUUAGUAGCGGCGAGCGAAAGGGAAAGAGCCCAAACUCGGUCUUAAUCGCGGAAUAUGUAGAAAUACGUAGAACGCGAUUAAGAUCGGGGGUUGUAAGGCGGCAAUGUCGCUAUUUAUAGCGAAAAGAGUUACAAAACACUUUAUUAGCAGAAUGCGCUGGAAAGCGCAGCCCUAGGGAGUGAUAGCCUCGUAUGCGAAAAUAAAGAGUCUCUUUUGUUGCCGUUCUUGAGUACCCCAGGACACGAAUAGCUUGGGGGAAUCUGCCGGAACUAACCGGCAAGGCUAAAUAUUCCAGAAGACCGAUAGUGAACUAGUACCGUGAGGGAAAGGUGAAAAGCAUCCCGGAGAGGGAGGUGAAAUAGAACUGAAACCAUACGCUUACAAGGAGUGGGAGCGGACGUCGCAAGACUGUUCCGUCACCGCGUGCCUAUUGAAGAAUGAGCCAACGAGUUGAUGCAUGCUGCAAGGCUAAGGGCUUGAAAGCCCGGAGCCGCAGGGAAACCGAGUGUGAAUAGCGCGAAUCAGUAGUAUGCAUCAGACCCGAAGCCGGGUGAGCUUGCCAUGUGCAGGUUGAACGCUGUCGAAAGACAGCGGAAGGACCGAACGCUAGAGACGUGCAAUACUCUGCGAUGACAUGUGGUACGGAGUGAUAAGCUCAUCGAACUCGGUAAUAGCUGGUUCUCUCCGAAAUAUGUUUAGGCAUAGCGUCGUAUGUUCCCACGGGGGGUAGAGCACUGGAAGAUCUCGACAGGUCGAAAGAUCGCGAGACCUAUCAAACUCCGAAUACCCGUGGUCAAAAAUACGGCAGUAAGUCCGUGGGGGCUAAGCUCCAUUGGACAAAAGGGAAACAGCCCGAAUCUCAAUUUAAGGUCCCAAAAUUCAUGUUAAGUACAAGGGAGGUGGUGAAUCUUCUUCGACGGUGAGGAUGUUGGCUUAGAAGCAGCCAUCAUUUAAAGAAAGCGUAACAGCUCACUCACUUAGAGGGUUUGCGCCGCAGAUGAUCGGGGUUAAAACAUGAUACCGAAACUGAGGGCUUGAUGUCGCUUCGGCGAUAUCAUGCGGUAGGAGAGUAUUCUACUCUGCGAUGAAGGCAAAGGGGCGACCCAUGCUGGAGCGUGUAGAAGUAAGAAUGUUGGCACAAGUAACCACAAUGCGGAUGAGAAAUCCGCACGCCGAAAGAUUAAGGUUUCCUUCGCAAUGGACUUCAGCGAAGGGUUAGUCGGGCCUAAGGGGAUGGCGAAAGCCGUACCUGAUGGACACACGGUUAAUAUUCCGUGACUUACAGUUGGUGCGAUGGGAUGACGGAGCACAAUAUGCGCAGCCCCUUAUUGGAUUGGGGUCUUUGGUCAGAGGGCGGAUGUGAGGAAAAUCCCACAUCCUUUCGUUAAAUCGAUGAGCCUAAGGACAGGAGGGAAGGCAUGGCUUGCCAUGCGGAACUACGCAAACCGCGCUUUCAAGAAAAGUCUCUAAGCAUAACCAACGGUAAUCCGUACCGAAAACCGAAACAGGUGAUCGGCUCGAGAAGAGCAAGGCGAACGAGUGAAGGUAGGUCAAGGAACUCGGCAAAAAAUCAGCCGUAAGUUAGCAAUAAGGCUUGCCCUCUCUUUAUUGAGAGGGCCGCAGCGAAAGUAUCUCUGGCGACUGUUUAUCAAAAACACAGCUCCCUGCGAACUCGUAAGAGGAUGUAUAGGGGGUGACACUUGACCAAUGCCAGAAGGUCAACCAUCGGCGGUGCGAUCAUAUCAAGCUGACUGAUGUAAGCCCUGGUGAAUGUCGGCGGUAACUAUAACCGUCCUAAGGUAGCGCAAUUCCUUGUCAGGUAAGUUCUGACGCGUUGAAUAGUGUAACGUCUGGAGAACUGUCUCGACCUACAGCUCGGUGAAAAUACAAUCCCGGUGAAGAUGCCGGGUACCUGCAGUUAGACGAAAAGACCCUAGAAGCUUUACUACAGCUUGAUAUUGAGCAUACGACUGCGAUGCGUAGCGUAGACGUUAGACUUUGAAGUGCGGUUUCGGCCAGCAUGGAGUCGCCAAUGAAACAGCGUUCUUCGUUGUUGUAUGUUCUAACCCCGAGGGCAAAAACCGCGGGAGACAGUAUCUGGUGGGUAGUUUUAGUGGGGCGCUAUCCUCCUAAAAAGUAACGGAGGAGCCUAUUAAGGUAAGUUAGCCGCGAAUGGAAACCGUGGCGAUAGUGUAUGGGCAUAAACUUGCUUAACUGUGAGACGUACUUGUCGAGCAGAUGCGAAAGCAGAGCUAAGUGAACCGACGGAUCGCAUUAGAUGCGGCCGGAGAUUAUCGGACAAAAGCUACUCUCCCAGAUCGGAAGAGCACUCGUC